rnacentral:rRNA from 1 species
AGUUCGAUCCACAGCUCAGAUUGAACGCUGGCGGGAUACUUUACACAUGCAAGUCGAACGGCAGCACGGACUUCGGUCUGGUGGCGAGUGGCGAGCAGGUGAGUAAUGUAUCGGAACGUGCCUAGUAGCGGGGGAUAACUACGCGAAAGCGUAGCUAAUACGCAUACGCCCUUCGGGGAAAGCGGGGGGACCUUCGGGCCUCGCACUAUUAAACGGCCGAUAUCGGAUUAAAGCUAGUUGGUAGAAUUAACGGCUCGCCAAGGCGACGAUCCGUAGCUGGUUUAGAGAGGACGACCAGCCACACUGGGACUGAGACACGGCCCAGACUCCUACGGGAGGCCUUGAUGGGGAAUUUUGGACAAUGAGGAAACCUGAUCCAGCCAUCCCGCGUGCGAUGAAGGCCUUCGGGUUGUAAAGCACUUUUUUGGCAGGAAAGAAACGGCACGGGAUAAUACCCCGUGCAACUGACAGUACAGAAUAAGCACCGGCUAACUACGUGCCAGCAGCCGCGGUAAUACGUGAGGUGCAAGCGUUAAUCGGAAUUACUGGGCGUAAAGCGUGCGCAGGCAGUUGGAAGAAAGAUGUAGAAAUCCCAGAGCUUAACUUUGAGACUGCAUUUUUGCUCACCGAGCUAGAGUGUGUCAGAGGGAGGUGGAAUUCCGCGUGUAGCAGUGAAAUGCGUAAAGAUAUGCGGAGGAACACCGAUGGCGAAGGCAGCCUCCUGGGAUAACCUAAACGCUCAUGCACGAAAGCGUGGGAGCAAGCAGGGAUUAGAUACCCUGGUAUUCGCCCUAAACGAUGUCAACUAGCUAUUUGGGGCCUUCAGGCCUUGGUACGCGCAACUAACGCGUGAAGUUGACCGCCUGGGGAGUACGGUCGCAAGAUUAAAACUCAAAGGAAUUGACGGGGACCCGCACAAGCGGUGGAUGAUGUGGAUUAAUUCGAUGCAACGCGAAAAACCUUACCUACCCUUGACAUGUCUGGAAUCCCGAAGAGAUUUGGGAGUGUUCGCAAGAGAACCGGAACACAGGUGCUGCAUGGCUGUCGUCAGCUCGUGUCGUGAGAUGUUAGGUUCGAAGUCCUGUAGCAAGCACAACCCUUGUCAUUAGUUGCUACGAAGAGCUGCUCAAUAAGACUGCCGGUGACAAACCGGAAGUGGGGAUGACGUCAAGUCCUCAUAGCCCUUAUGGGUAGGGCUUCACACGUCAUACAAUGGUCGGGACGGUGUAACCGCGAAGGCCAAUCCCAGAAGUGAUCGUAGUCGGAUCGCAGUCUGCAACUCGACUGCGUGAAGUCGGAAUCGCUAGUAAUCGCGGAUCAGCAUGUCGCGGUGAAUACGUUCCCGAGGUCUUGUACACACCGCCCGUCACACCAUGGGAGUGGGUUUUACCAGAAGUAGUUAGCCUAACCGUAAGGAGGGCGAUUACCACGGUAGGAUUCAUGACUGGGGUGAAGUCGUAACAAGGUAA